rnacentral:rRNA from 1 species
UAAGACGAAGGUGGCGAGCGUUGUUCGGAAUCACUGGGCAUAAAGCGCACGUAGGCGGCGACGUAAGUCGGGUGUGAAAUCCCUCGGCCCAACCGAGGAACUGCGCCCGAUACUGCGUUGCUUGAGGAUCAGAGGGGUGCACGGAAUUUCCGGUGGAGCGGUGAAAUGCGUUGAUAUCGGAAGGAACGUCGGCGGCGAAAGCGGUGCACUGGCUGAUUUCUGACGCUGAGGUGCGAAAGCCAGGGGAGCAAACGGGAUUAGAUACCCCGGUAGUCCUGGCCGUAAACGAUGGGUACUAGGUAGGGGGGUGCCAAACGCCUCUCUGCUGGAGCGAAUGUAUUAAGUACCCCGCCUGGGAAGUACAGUCGCAAGGCUG